AGAGUUUGAUCCUGGCUCAGGACGAACGCUGGCGGCGUGCUUAACACAUGCAAGUCGAACGGAAAGGCCCCCACUUUUUUGGUGGGGGUGCUCGAGUGGCGAACGGGUGAGUAACACGUGGGUGAUCUGCCCUGUACUUCGGGAUAAGCUUGGGAAACUGGGUCUAAUACCGGAUAGGACCAUGGUUUAGUGUCUCAUGGUGGAAAAAUUAUUGUUUUGGUGCAGGAUGAGCUCGCGGCCUAUCAGCUUGUUGGUGGGGUAAUGGCCUACCAAGGCGUCGACGGGUAGCCGGCCUGAGAGGGUGGACGGCCACAUUGGGACUGAGAUACGGCCCAGACUCCUACGGGAGGCAGCAGUGGGGAAUAUUGCACAAUGGGCGCAAGCCUGAUGCAGCGACGCCGCGUGGGGGAUGACGGCCUUCGGGUUGUAAACUCCUUUCGUUAGGGACGAAGCCACACCUUUUUUGGGUGUGGUGACGGUACCUUUGUUAAGAAGCACCGGCUAACUACGUGCCAGCAGCCGCGGUAAUACGUAGGGUGCGAGCGUUGUCCGGAAUUACUGGGCGUAAAGAGCUCGUAGGUGGUUUGUUGCGUCGUCUGUGAAAUUCCGGGGCUUAACUUCGGGGUGGCAGGCGAUACGGGCAUAACUAGAGUGCUGUAGGGGAGACUGGAAUUCCUGGUGUAGCGGUGGAAUGCGCAGAUAUCAGGAGGAACACCGAUGGCGAAGGCAGGUCUCUGGGCAGUAACUGACGCUGAGGAGCGAAAGCAUGGGGAGCGAACAGGAUUAGAUACCCUGGUAGUCCAUGCUGUAAACGGUGGGCGUUAGGUGUGGGGACCGGUUUGGUUUCUGUGCCGUAGCUAACGCAUUAAGCGCCCCGCCUGGGGAGUACGGCCGCAAGGCUAAAACUCAAAGGAAUUGACGGGGGC
rnacentral:rRNA from 2 species